rnacentral:rRNA from 1 species
GACGAACGCUGGCGGCGUGCUUAACACAUGCAAGUCGAGCGGUAAGGCCCUUUCGGGGGUACACGAGCGGCGAACGGGUGAGUAACACGUGGGUGACCUGCCCUCAGCUCUGGGAUAAGCCUGGGAAACCGGGUCUAAUACCGGAUAUGACUCCAUGACGCAUGUUGUGGGGUGGAAAGCCUUGUGCGGCUGAGGAUGGGCCCGCGGCCUAUCAGCUUGUUGGUGGGGUGAUGGCCUACCAAGGCGACGACGGGUAGCCGGCCUGAGAGGGCGACCGGCCACACUGGGACUGAGACACGGCCCAGACUCCUACGGGAGGCAGCAGUGGGGAAUCUUGCGCAAUGGGCGAAAGCCUGACGCAGCGACGCCGCGUGAGGGAUGACGGCCUGGUGUAACUAC